AAGCCGUUCCAGAUUACAAAGAAAACGGUCAGUCGAUAACUAUUUUAGGUUUUUGGUAUUUUUGGAAACGCACGAAAAAUAGCAGAACAAUUUAAAUCACGAAAAUGUGGUCGUCGUAUAAACUCUGGUGUCCCGGCUCUGCUCCUCUUCAUGCUCUCACCUCUGUGCUGCUUCCCAGAUUUGAGCCCUGAGCCAGCCAUCACAACAACACGAUGUGCAAUUUUUGCUUGUGCUGAUAAACAGCAUCCCUAUUGAUUGGAAACAUUCCUCGUAAUCCUCUCUGUCCUCGUGUACACCCAUGUGAGUGUGGGUGUAUUCACGAGGACUCCGUUUUUCCGUCAUUCCACUUUUCUGCGGAUGGAGCACUUGUGGAUGCCUGGCCGUACUUCCCAGGCUUAAAAGGUAGGUAAGAUAUAUCUUUACUCUUCCUUUUUGACUAUAUGGUUAGGUCACUUAGUACGGUGUACAAUUAUUCUGAGACAUGUCAUUGACUGGAACUUUUGUUUCUCGAUUGCUGUUUUUGUUUACUCAGUUAGGACUCAUUAAAUAAGUCAUUUGUAGAACAACUGCAGAUCAGGCCUGUUUUUGUACCUCACAGCUUUGUCUUUGGAUAAACAAUCAAUUUUUAAAAAUCUUUUUACUUUGAACACUUCAAUCAAGUGCAACUAUAAAAAAUUGUAUGGCCAAUAGGGCCCCCUCCUCCUCCUCCUGUUACCACAGAACUGGGAGAGGGACCUUGCAUAGAGAUGACAGUUCGUUCCUAUUUGAUGAAAUGCGUGGGAUCCAACAAUUGGUUUCAGUUCACGAGGUUCCUACCAUUGACUGCGCCAACGAAUAAAUUAAUAAUUUAGAGAUGCGUGAUCCUCUCAUUUGAAUUGGAAUUUGUUUUCUUCUUUCACCUUUUUCUU